UUUUGUUGUUGUUUAUUUGUUUGUCAGAUUACAGGAGACUUCAUUCCCAUGAGAGAAAGAAAACUGUCAUUGAAGUCUUCAUUGGGCUGCUGUUAUUUCUGUUAAAGUUGUUGGAAUGUUGUCCUUCUAGCAGUGUGCAUGAUAACUGAUUUCAGAGGCUAACAUUCCGUGGCUCAGUGUCUAUUAAGGACUCCCCUGGAAGCUUCUUAAGAAAUGACUUAGAAUAAGAAACACAAAAAAUUUUUUUCAUCACUGUUUAAAGAAAAUGAAAAGAAAAAAAGAUGACAGCAUAGCCCUAGAACUUUUCCAGUGGUCUGAUUUCUAACCAGUGGUCAUCAAAGUUGCCAGGUCAGGGAUCAGGGGCUUGAACCUGGGUCUUUGCACAUGGUAGCAUGUGCACUCUACCAAACAUGCCACUGCCUGUCCACUUGAGGGAGAUUCUCAUCAUAUCCAUCUGUGCUCAACAAUGAACUAUUGGAUGAGUGUCUCAAACCAGGUGCUGUAGCCAUGACCCCUACAUUAGCAUUUUCUGCAAUCUCAGGCCUUCAUGUGCUGGCUUCCUGGAAGUCCUUGUUUUCGGAACCAAGCAUCUUUAUUCUCUGCAAGUUGAACAUGAGCUGCAAUAGCCAUUGGUCAUGCCAGAAUCACUGCUAAUAGCAUGAGCUUCAAACAAAAUUGAAUUUAUUCUGCUUGGUGACACUGCUGCCUUCCUGCAACCUGCAUGGUCAUAGAGGAACAGAAGUGACCCCCCCCAAAAGAAGAGAAAAGAAACAAAUUUCUUCAACUAUAGACCUUACCAAAUCCACCAACUACAGCUGAGACACCAGCAGCCUCAGCCACCAAGUUCCAGAUGUUAUCAUGAUGCCAUCCUGACUUCCCUGGGCAGAUGACCUCACCAAUAUGUCCUAGAACCUCCCCUCCCCAGGACCCUGCCCCACUAAGGAAAGAUAGAAACAGGUUGGAGGUAUGGAUCCACCUGCCAAUGCCCAUGUCCAGCAGAGAAGCAAUUACAGAAGCCAGAACUCCCACCUUCUGCACCCCAUAAAAAAUUUGGGUCCAUCCUCCCAGAGGGGGAGAAAUGUUAGUGGAAGAUGGGCUCUGAACUCCAACUCCUUCAGAGGAAAAAGGGAGGGACAUUUGGAUAUAGUUAUGGGGUUAUGUGUUCCUUAGAAAAGAAGAUAUGACAGGACCCUGGGGGGAAAAAGGGCAAAUUAUACAAAUAUAGACAGAUAGUUGUAGAAAUAAUAGUUAACCCAUAUCUGCAACCUUAGGAAAACUGUUGUAGCUUCUAAUGGAGGGAAUGGGGAUUCAGAACUCUGGUGGUGGGUAUGGUGUGGACUUAGACUCCUGUUGACAUGUAGUUUUGUAAAUCAAUAUUAAAUCACUAAUAAAAAACAA